AGUGCUAGGGGUGCCUUAUGGCUGAGAAAAGUUUUUAUAACUUUACCCUUUGAACCUGAUUCGGAUAAACCCGACGUAGGAAAGCUAAUCUA
rnacentral:ncRNA from 1 species